GAAGAAAUUAAAACAAGCUUGUAUAUCAACUAUCCUUCAAUAAAAAAGGAAGUCAUAGAUUGUUUAUGCAUAUUCUUAUUAUGUUUCGCAACAGAGAAAGGAUUCCUGUACCUGGAAUUUGGAGAACUCUUGUCUUUUCAAGAUGAACCUAGUUCCUCUGCAAGGCGAAAACUUUUUAUGUUCCCAAAGUAAGUUUUUCCAUGCCUGAAAAUUUCUUAAACAUUCAAAGUGAAAAAGUAAAAUAGGGAGCAAAAGAAGGUGAAGGAACUUAGAAUAAAAAAAGAAAGUAUCACCCUUAGUUAUCAAAACAAAAAUCUCAUUUUUGAAAAACAAACAACAUAACCACAUUGUGAAAAAUAGUAUGCAAAUCUGAAGAUGCAAUAUGAAAUAAAUCAUUCUAUUUACUUUUAUUAAAAAAAGGCCUGUGUUUCAUGGUGACAUCAAAGAGAUUCACUUUAAAAUGGCACAUCUGGUAUUACAUUGGACAGCUAAGAUCCACAUAAAUUAAACUCUUUAAAAAUAAAAUUCAUCCUUUAAAAGAAAAAAGAACGAAUAUAUGUAAUGAUUGUACAAAUUAGUGUGAGAAAAAAUUGGCCAAUUCCAUAACUGGUGCUUGUACUAUAGGUUUGCAGUAUUAAAAAAAAUGUCUUAAUUUCAUGGCAUGCUCUAAAAUAAAUUCUAGCUGAUUCACAAAGUUAAAUGUAGAAAACUCAACCACAAAAAUCUCUUUUCAGUGGCUGAGAAAGGAACUUCCAUGAAAAUAAUGAGAUUAUAAACAAUAUGAUAGAUCCCUUUUAUUGCUAAAAAAUGUAACAAAACCCCCAAAAGCCCUCAUGCCAAGAUAUCACACCCCAAAUUGAAAGGCAAGCCACAAACUCAGCGAUCUUUUUAUUAAAUAUGACGCAAGAUGGGCUAAUAUCUCUCAUAAUCCGAGAUCCUUUACACAUCUUGCUGGAUAUUCUGUUUGUCCCACCCGGUCGUGUCCCACCCGCCUGCUCUGGGCUCUGGGAGGAUGACCUUGCCGACCGGCUGGAGCAGGCUCUGUCUCCCCGCUGGGUUCAGCCAAUGGGAGACGUGCAGGAAGGUGGGGAGUGGGAGGAGCCAGGAUAAUGCCUAUCCUCCCUCCAGAGAACACAGUUUGCUGUGGUUCUGUUCUUCUUCCCGAAGCCCUGGCUCUUGACAGGAGUCCCCUUCCAGAAAGCUACUUAUUUGCAGGAUGUGGGUUCCCGGCCCCCAGCCCCUGGUCUCCGAUGCUCCCCAUGGCUUGCUGUUUUCCCGCAAGCUGCCUGCCCCACCUUGGUACAGCUUCCUUCAGGCACCUGCAGCUGCUCUCUGGGUGUCCUUCCAGACCUGACUGUCAUCCAAGAACAAAACUAAGACUGUGAGACAGGACCCACGUAGGUGAAACUACACACAUGGCUCCAAAGUUUGGGAAAUGUUCAGUCUCACUAAGCACAUCACUUCACAGACUUAAAAAAAAAUGACGUAACAUCCUUUAACCCAUCAAAGUGAAUGGUAUGCAGACCCACGACCAUUCUUGAGGCCAGCAAGUUACUCCCAGACUGUUGUCUUCAAAAUACAAAUUGUCACGUCCUUUUUGUAAAACAAUCUCAGCGUGUAGGAAAGAUCCUUACAAAAGAGCUGUACUUUUUGACCUAGGGAUUUUAUUUCUAAGAAUCCACACUAAGGCUAAUAAUCAGAAAUAUAGAUGAGAAUCUCUAUCCUGAAAUGCUAUUAAUAACAGUGGAAAGCCUGGAAAUGAAUUUAGUGAACUGCAGUAAUUGGGUAUAUGAAAUUUUAAAAAAUCAAUAGAUUGUGCAGCCAAAUAGCAUUUUUUCAUGAUUUGGUAGAAUGCUCACAGAUAAUGUUAAGUAGUAUAGCAGGAUCCAAAGAGUAAAUAAACUCACAUGUCACCCAGUUUGUCCUUAGAGCUGACAGUCACUUCUUCUGGUUAAAUUGGGCCCUGUCCUAGGAUUAUCACGCUGCGACCUCUUCUUGAAUUUCUCAAUAAACUUGAAAGCAGAGACUAUGUUAAAUGCAAGUAAAUGAAUAAAUCUGUGCUGUGCUGACCCUGGAGCACAUCGAAGCCCUGACCUCAGACACAACUGUUCCGCUGCACGUCAGCAUCAGAAGACGCCCGAGAGAAUGGCUGGUUGUGUCUUUGAGAGGCUUUCUAGCUUUUUGUGAGCAACUCACUAAAAGUGAAUUUUAUGUGAACCACACAGUCCGUAUUUUAAAUUAGAUCAUUCCAAACAUGUAGCCCUAGUUUUGUAAAGCUCUUUUCAUCUGGUUUUAUCUGAUGUUGUACCAGAACAUAAAGUUAAUUUUAUUUAUGUUACAUACACAUUUUAGGAAAAUGGAAGGAAUGAUUCAAUAUUAUUUACAGUGGCUUCUUCUGGCCUAGUGAGAGUACAGGUCAUUUGUAUCAUUUAAAAUACUUUGAUAUUUUCAAGUAUUUUCUUUUCUUUUUUUUUUUUUUGGCUGUGCCCACAGCACAUGAAAGGGGUCCUGUUAACUCAGCAUCAUCCAUGCAUAGCAGUUUUCUCGUUGUCCCACAGUCGAUCUGAUUCAGGAUUCUGAGUCACCCUAACGAAGCUCACCAGAGACGUAGCGGAUACAGUCAGAUACCACUAUACUCCAUUCCAAUAAGAAAAGUUAGAAAUCCGGGUUCAAGUGCCCUGGAAACCCUCCCUUCCCUUCCCUGCUUAGCUAGGGAGCCUGGGAUGAGGGUAGGGGCUUGGCUCUGAUGGAGCAUUAAACGGCAGGAGGUCCUGGUGUCUUGGGUGCAUCCAUUCUCCAAAUCAGAAGGACCAGCUAUUUGGGUGGGACCUUGGAUGGUUUUCAGAUGACACUGCUCUCUGAUGUUUUGCCGGCUUCUUGCUUCCUUUGCCUACAUAUUCUCCUUUAAAUUUUUUUUCUUACUUUUUAGGGCCACACCUGCAGCAUAUGGAAGUUCCUAGGCUAGGGGUCAAAUCAGAGCUGCUGCAGCCGGCCUACACCACAGCCACAGCAACACUGGAAACUUAACCCACUGAGUGAGGCCAGGAGUCGAACCCUCACCCUCAUGGAUCCUAGUUGGGUUUGGAACCCGCUGAGCCAAAAGGAGAACUCCUUUCCUUUUAAAUUGUUCUAAGAAAUUAAAGUGUGAAGAAACUAAAAUCAUAGCCUAUGAAGAGACGAUGACAUGGACACUGACAAAGUGACAGAACCUGAGCAUCCAAAGAUGGGUGAGGUGCGUUUCCUGUCCUCAAAGAGCUUACGGUCCGGUGAGAGCCGCGGACACCUGCCUGACACUUUCCACAUAGGUGGUGGAUGCGGUGGAGGAAGCUUGUGGCGGGGAGAGUGUCCUUUGCAUGUGCCCUAAUUGUUUGGUUUUUGCACUAUUUCUACCAGGUUUGUAAUUUUGGGCUAUUACGGCUUUUAUGACUAAGGUACACACAUAAAAGGAUCUAUGGAAAGCAGAAAUAACGUGAGAUUUACGUAGAAUUUACAAAGGCUGGAAAGUCUAGGCUGUGCUGUGAACACGCUGCUUGUUUUUUCCAAGGGGGUACAAGUGCUGUAACUUUCCUAAUGACAUCCUCAUAAUUUUCUCAAUAGCAGGAUUAAUAGUAUUAAAUCCCAGGGGAAAGUUGCAAGAACCCAUUUUCUCAAGUUAUUUAAAACUCAGACUCGACAAACUCCCCCCAUUUAUACCAGAGUACGAACCCGCUGACAAGACUUUCAGGAUUACAAGGACAUGCAAGGAAGUGUCUUCUGGCUGCAAUGCUGCAGGUAGUUUUUGAAAAAUCACAUAAAAACAUAACUCAUAAGUGUUACAUUUGGCUUAAGGAAGUUCAAAACGGUAGACUUGAAAUCAUCAAAAGGCAUAUGUAAUACGUCUGACAGGUCAGUUCAACUUGGAUUUUCAAUCAGUAUUUUUAAAUCAAUAUUUUUAUUAUGUUUGAAUUCUGCAAAGUUUUUAAAGGUAUGAUAGUUUGGAAUUACAUUUUGGUUGCUUUAAAGCUCUUCAUUAAAGUGUUUCUUAGUUACGGGUUUUGUUUUGUUUUUUUAGGCAAUUCUGAAUUCUUUGUGGCUCCUUUACUAACCAAGCAAAGGUUUGUGAGGUUUUAGAGGCUGUUUCCUUUUAUUCUGAUUCCAGAAUUUCAGCAAUUAUUGGGUCCUCAUAUAUCUAUCUCAGAAACCGGUUUUCACUAUAAAACUGUGAGGUUCAAAUGGGAUUUAAAGUGUCAGAAAAUUGGGUCGUUCUAGUGCUUUUUGAAUCAUGUCAGUAAUUUGAGCCUGUGGCUUAAGAGGACAGAGAAGGUGAGAAUAAAAGGAUUUGCAGGCCUGAGACCGCUGCUCUGAUGUGACUACUUUGCCAGCAUGGGCCGCAGGAGGAGAGCUGCCUUCUGCCAUAGGGAGCCUCGAGCGUGUGUCCUUGUGAGAGCCUUCAGAGAGCCGACAGGUGUGCUUUAUUCAUCUCCUGAUUGUCUUUCUGAACCUGAGAACACUUUGCACAAAAGCAAGCGAGGCCUCGGGUGCCGAUGGCAGACUGAGGGCGAAACGCUUCACGGUACCGGGGUCGCUCCGAGAAGGGUCUGACCUCCAGGCCCGCUUGUCCUCGGCUCUCCCGCUCCUCUGGCUCUGGGCUUUCCCAUGGUGAGAAGAGUGGAGGAGCAGUUCAGUUCCGGUGGGCACAGGUGCAAUGGGCACAGCCCACCGCGUCUCCCGAGAAGCCCUCAGAACCCAUCACGUAGACGCCCAGCAUGAACGAGGGCUGCUGUGCUCUAUCCAGCCCCCCCCAAGUAACAUGCCAGCCAGGGCACUGUAUUUCUCUCUCUCUCUCUCUUUUCUUGAAAGGAAAGUGAAAAAAAUUAAUGAAAAAAGCUGCAGAACUCUCAGGAAAGCCUCAGGUCUUGCAGUGGCCCACGCAUCUGUGUAACAACCUCCUCCCCACCGUGAAUCUGGCCUCCACCAGGAGCGCACUGGGCCACCUAGGAGGUGUCACUUCCUUUCUCGGAGUUGCACCUGACUUUCUGUUUUACGGUCAGUCACAGUAGCAUCUGCUGUUGUGAUGAAGAAGCAGGUAAAUCCAUGCGCAGACUUCUCCUGCAGCACCUGAAGCGGACCAGGGUACAGGGCAAGUUAAGACCCGUGAUGGAGGCCGGCUCUUGGGGGCUACAUCCCAGGAGAGUCUGAGUAGAUGACUUGGUGCUACUUCGUGUCAGUUAAGUCCAGCCGGAGGUGCAGAACUAAGUGUGUCCGUGGCAAAUGCAGACGAGAAGGACAGAGCGUCAAGUUCCUGGGCACCCGCUGAAUUCUGGCCACCAGACAAGUGAGAACAGAAGGACUUGACUCCCUUGUUCUUUGCCGAGACCUGCAAGUCAGGCAAGACCUCUUUGAAAAAGUGGCAUUUCCGUUCUGGGCAGAACAGGAGGGCUGCUAGGCAGCAGCAGGAGUGAGGUGACAGGCAGUAGCUGGGGGGUGAAAUAGAUGUUCCCUUUAUUGCAUCAAACUACCUCCAUUAGUGUCUUCUUGGAGUCUCCCGGAAAGAUUUGGCUAGAGCGCUGCCACAACUGACCGUAAAGAGGCUCACGCUGAACCACACUGAUCCGUUAAAAAGCUCUGAAGCGCUGCUAUGUCCAAGGCUCUGCGCUGGGUGUCUGUCUAAAGAUUCAGCGUCUUUCUGCUCCAUCACAUCCCCUUUUGGCCAGUGGCUCUCCAGUCAGACGGACGCUAAAAUCACCACCAUCUUUUACUCCUCCACCAUCUCCUUGUUCCCUCUCUUCCCACCAGCCUUUGUCACUGACUGUAUGUCUAGAUUGUAGGAGCAUCCUUUUAACUUGGGUCCCUGCCUCUAGGCUUGGCAGUGGACAUUAGGGAGGUAAUUUGGAGAUAAAUACAUAAGGUAAGUUUUGGUAAAUAUAUAAAUAUAUAUAUAUAUACAUAUAUAAUAAGAUUCAAUAUAAGACUCAUUCUGCAUAAGGUUCAGAUUCUUAUUCUGAAUAAGAUCGAUUUAUUCAUAAAGAAAUCAGUAAAAAUCACCCAGGAUUAAAGCACCUAGAAAUAACUAAUACCAAUCACUAUCAGCAAUCUGUAUGUAUAUUAUAUAUAUUUCACAUAUAGAUGUCAUAUGGAUAGUUUGAAACCUUUUAUACAUAUACCAUGAGCAUUUUCAUGCUAAUAAAGUAUAUUUUCAUUAUUUAAUCAAUGCAUUAUGUAUAUUACCUUAUUACAUCCCUAUCCCCCAAUUUAUUUAAUCAAUCCUUCACUGAUAUAUUUUUAUACUGCUAUUGAUUUCCUACUGCUAUAAAAUCAUCAUAGUUAAUUACAAAAUGCAUAGGUUUUUGUGCAUUUAGUGGAGCAUUUCCAUCAAAUAAGUUCUUGUAAAGAAAUUUGUUGGAUCAGAAAGAAGUUUUAAUUUUAAGGCUUUUGGUGACUAUCAUCAGACUGCCCUCUGGAAAUUUUAUACCAAUUUAAACUCCCCAAAGCAGCCUUCAGGCCUCUUUUCUUAUGCUAUCAGCUGGUGGUUAAUAUUCUUCGUAUCUUUCCCCAUCUGAGAGGUGAGAAAUGCUCUUUGUUUUAUUUGUAUUUCCUUGGUUAGUAAUGAGAUUGAGUAUCUUUUUGUAAACUUAUUUAUAUUUUUAAUUUGGCGAGUUGUCUUUCACACCUUGUAUGUGACCUUUUGCUGAUUUGUCUGUCUAUAUUCUGUCAUACAUACAUUGUGAAUAUUUUCUCACUUGAUGGUUGUCUCUGCUUAUUGGGUAUAAUAGAAGUUAAUUUUUAUUUCACCAAAACUCUCAUACUUUUACUUCACAAUUUCUGACUUUAUUUUCUUAGGAAAUCUUUUCCUAUUUACCUAUAUUUUAUUCAAGUAUUUUUAAGGUUCCAUCUGUUACAUCAAGAUCAGAUUAAUGUUGAAUUCACUUUGAUAUAAGUAAGGUGCAUGACCUAUGUGUGUUCAUGGUUUGCAUUUGCACUAACUUAUCGAUAAGUCUGUCAUUUCCCCUGGUCUGAAAUGCUGAUAUUAGAUAUAUGUGAAUCUCCCGCAGACCUUGAGGUGGGGCGCUUAGGAGCAAAGACAUGGGGAGGUGCAGGUGCAAAGCAAGAUAAGGAAGGUAAAUAGGAACGGGAAGUAAAGGGGUUAAUGUAAGAACCUGCCUUAAUGCGCAGGUAAAUAAUGGGUACCUCCUGUCUCCUCUUUGGAAUGUGAAGAUAAUAAGGAAAAAUCAAAAGUAGUUACAAUUUUCUUGAACAUCAGGUAAUUAAGGGAAAGUGCCGUGUACAAAACUGUGAAAGGCAGAAGCUGGUUGUGAAGUAGAUGGUCCAUUUGGUCUUUAUUAUUUUGAGCUUGUGGUCCCAACAGAGCAUCCAGGUAAUGAUUCGGAUAUGCUGAUAUGUGUGUUUGUGUAUGAGAGAGGCAGAGACCGACAGAGAGAGAGAGAGGCAGAGAGUAAGAAUGAGCAACCAGAUUAAACCCAGAUUUAGUUAACUUUUUUUUUUUUUUCUUUUUUGGCUGCCCGGCAGCAUAUGGAGUUUCCUGGCCAGGGAUCAGAUCCAAGGAACUUAACCCACUGUGCUGGGCCGGGGAUUGAACCUGUGUCCCGGUGCUGCAGAGAUGCUGCUGAUCCGUUGCAUACGUCUUCUGUAGGAAACAGGCAAUGCUGCAUUUCCUGGAUGCUCUCUUGGCACUUGAAAGAUUUUACUUCUUCCUUAAAGAAGUAAAGCCAUAGUCUGCACCGCCAUAAUCUGAGAAAUGACUCCUCAGCGUCUCCCUUGCUCCCUUCCCUGCCCUCUUAUUUUUGGCUGCACCUCUGUUGUGUGGAGGUUUCUGGGACAGGGAUGGGUACCUGUGCCUCAGCUACCACCUGGGACACACCUGCACCAACACUGGAUGGAUCACGGUUCUGGGACGAGAAUGCUGCUUCCACAACUGUAGCCGAAAUCAGCAGAGGAGCUCCUAGGGGCCCGCUUUGGGACAUUAGACCUUUGCUCUCUGGGGGCAAGUGAGCGGGAGUGGUUCAGGGUCAAAGUUGCAUCCGUGGAGACUUACUAUGAAUGAAGGUUUUAUGGUCCAAGCGGAGCCGCGCACGUGCAGCUGUCCUUCCAGGAGUCGGUGUGUCCUUCGUCCACAUCACUGACUCGCGAACAGACCUUGGGCCUGGAGUGCCUGGAAAUUGGAAAUGGCCUGGCCGCUUUCCCAAUCAAGCAGAUGAAGUGAAAAAAAUUAUUGGAGAUAUUUGCAAACUUCCGUAUUUUGUAAAAACAUUUUCCAGGCAAUGAUUUUUCUAAAUACUUGCUUCAAACCAAAGAUCCUGAAAGUUGAGCACCGGUCAGAAGUGGCAGGUCUGGUUGUUAAAAUAAAAGCUUUAUACUUUUC
rnacentral:lncRNA from 1 species